CCCAACUGCAUUAAUUGCCCCAGCUGCAUUAAUUACCCAGCUACACUACUUACCCCAGUUGCAUUAAUUACCCCCAGCUGCACUAAUUACCCCAGUUGUAUUAAUUGCCCCCAGCUGCACUAAUUAGAGUACCUAGAGCUGUAUUAAUUGCUCCAGCUGUAUUAGGUACCCCAGCUGCAUUGAUUACCCCAGUUGCAUUAAUUAAUUACCCCCAGGUGCCUUAGUUACCCCAGAGCCACACUAAUUACCCUUAGCUGCACUAGUUACCCCCAUUAAUUACCCCCAGCUUCACUAAUUACCCCUCCCAGAUGCAUAAAUUACAUCCAUUUUCACUAAUUACCCCUUUCAGCUGCACUAAUUACCCCCCCGCUGCACUGAUUACCCCUAACAGCUGCAUUAAUUACCCCUAGCUUCACUAAUUACCCCCCCAGCUGCAUUAAUUGCCCCAAACUUCACUAAGUACCCCUCCCAGCUGCAUUAAUUACCUCCAGCUUCACUAAUUACCCCUCUCAGCUGCAUCAGUUGCCCCCUCGCUGCACUAAUUACCCCCUAGCUUCAUUAAUUACCCCUCCUAGCUGCACCAAUUACCCGCAAUUUCAUUAAUUACCCCUCCCAUCUGCACUAAUUACCCCCCAGCCUCAUUAAUACCCCCCCCCAUUUGCACUAAUUACCCUCUAGAUGCACUAAAUACCCCCCCAACUCCACUAAUUACCCGCCAGCCUUACUAAUUACCCCUCCCAGCUGCCCCAAUGCCCCCCGGCAGCACUAAUUACCCCUCCCAGCCGCACUAAUUACCCCCUUUAAUCACUAAUUCCCCCCCCGGCCGCCAUUUUGAGGCUCGGCCACCAGAGGGCGCUCGCGCCGCGGCCUCGCCGCCGCCUCCCACAAUGCAGCGGGACGGCCGCGGCUCCGCGCGCCUCCUGCCUUCGGCUCCGUUCGGCUCCGCUCGGAACCGCUUCGGCUCCGCUCGGCCGGGCUCGGAACCGCUCGGCCGGGUUCGGAACCCUUCGGAACCGCUCGGAACCGCUCGGCUGGGUUCGGCUCCGCUCGGCGGGCCGCGGCCGCGGGGUGAGCGCGGAGCCCCGCGCAGCCCCCGCCCGCCCCAGGAUCCAGACAAAUGAGCGGGGAGUCGGGCACGGAGGAGAGGCAGAUUCUGCUUGAUCACCCUUUGCAGUAAGUACCCUGACGUCUCGAGGAUGAGAUUUGCUGUGCUUAAUAUUGCCUUAAAACUGCCUUCACGGGGGAGCAGCACUAAAUCUACAUACUUCGACAACGCUUCCCUACAAAUAGCAGCUCCCUUGGCUUUCCUCCUGUUUUGUUUUGAGGGAAGUGGAAGCUCCAGCUCCUUCUAUCCGAAGGGGUAAAUCUGCCCGCUUCCUUACGUGAUAAGGAUGGCAGGCGUUUUCUGAAAGCGAAGGAGAAAAUCUGUAUUUCAUGGGGAAUUUUUACACAUUAAAAUAUCUCGCACGCAUGCUAAUGGGCGGUAAUAACGAGCCGGUGCUUUAUGAGGUGUCUGCAAACAUUGUUCAACUUGCUACUGCGAGGGACUCGAGCUAAUAAAUCCCAGUUAAUUGGAACACGUCGGCCCAUCUGGUGCGUAGCCAGACUGAAACAGUUAACUGCAAGCCCCUGCAGGCUGCAAGGACUCUGCUUUUGGGUACAAAAUGCUGGCCCAGGCACAGCAGGUGAGUGUGGGAGCUGCUGUGAUUGACCAAGAGGGCUGCACAAUUAAAUCCGCUGGAACAAUCCUAGCAGGCGACUCCCCUAGGAUAACGUGGGAUGAUGAAUUUUAAAAGCUGAAGGUGCUCGUUAACAAAAAGACAAGGAGGAAAUCACACGCUUGGAAACCGGAGCGUGUCAGCAGGUUGGUUUCAGUAAGUCCUGGGAGCAGGGUGGUCAAUUCUAGUUCCUCCUGUGCAGGAAAGGGAAAAAAAGAGGCUUUCUAAUUUGUGGCUUCUUAACUUUUCCACCUCACAUAGCGUGGCAUGCAAGAUGUCCUUGGUUCAGGUGUUCUCUUCGUUGAUUCAGCUCGUUUUACUUCUGGAUCCAGGGCACUCUUUCUGCCCUGCUGCUGGGAUGUGCCAAGCACUGCGUUCGGGGCUGAAUACUGCAACUGAAAGUAGCAGAGAGGUCGUGUGAAGAGCAGAGGCUGCUGCUAUCGAUCAGGGGUGCCAUCGUGCCGUGGUCUGCAUCGACAGAUCUAAUCCCAGCGUGUGUCUAGAGUCAGAUCUGCUGACUGCAGUAGCUAAAAUAAGUCAAUACCAUUGAAUUCUCCUUCUCCUUGCAUAGCUUAAGAAGAAACACGGAAAGUUGCAGCCUGACAGCUGUGCAGUGUGCAGCGGGCCCCAGGGCUGCGUGGGCUUCCCUGAGGGCAUCGUUUGGCCUGCAGAGCAUCUAUUACGGCUGGUGUCUUGUGUGGCAGGCUCAGCAUUGACCUUCAGAACCUGGUACAUGUUUGUGGGCCUGAUGGCUGGAAGAACAAACGUUGGAGACGAGGAUUUGAGGUUUGGAGUUUGGGCUGAAAAUUGCGAUUAAAGCAAAAGACUGCGCGUACGAAUUUAGGUCAGUAGGAGACAGCUGAGCGAAGGGAUCUUCUUGGCAGAGGGAUGGAACAGAAGAGUGAUAGAAACAAGGCCUGUCUCUGAUUGCUGUGGAACAAAAUGGAAAAAUAACCGUUUUCAAGAGUCUUUAAGCCAUUUUAUACAAGACUGUAGCACUAAGUAGCUAAAUGGGCUGGGGUUGGAAUAUAAAAAUGCUUUCAACCCCAGCUAAGUACUGGGGGAGGCUGCAUUGCUGAUCUUCCAGACGAAGCCGUAGACUUCUGCUGGCUUUAUUAGAAACUCAAACCACAGCAAACAAACACCUGAGCCAUGGGGAGGCCCGAGGUCUGUCCUGUCUCCAGCAGUGGCUGGUGGAAAUGGUCUUUAUCUCGUUGAUUUAUUUAGCUGCAGUUUGAAUUGUUUGCAUGUUUGCCUCUUCCAUGCUGUUCUGGGUUCUGUAGGUCCCUGCUAUGCCCCUUACCAGAGAUCUCUUCCAGACAAAAGGACCCAAAUCUAGUUGGACUGUCCUCCUGGCAGGUGAUGUUCUGUGUCUCUGACCAUCCUCACUUCUCUUCUGCCCCCUCUCCUCGUGGAGCUGACUUCUGGUCCUGGUGCACGUCUGGUUUUCCUCUCAAACCUUCUCCAAGUCCUACUCGUUAGUACCUUGAAAGAACCACUAGGUUUCUGAGGGCUCAUCCUUUUGUUUCAGUUCGGUGUUUAUUACCCUGGAAAAGAAGCCAGGAAUCGUGUGUGUUCCACAUAACGAGAAGCCAUAGAUUUUUUUUUCUUCUUCUUCUUCUAAAAAGCAGGAGUUUGUGUCUAAUCUAAAGGCUCUAUGAGAAAAGCUAUGAAUAAACCUGAUGCAUUCCAGCACACUGAGUCACUGGGACAAUGCAGUAUUUAACAAAGAGUCCUGACAGACAUUGUGUGGCUUUGUGCUCGAGCUGUCAGCCAGGAUAUGAGCUGUAUCUUUGUAUCCUGCAGCAGUUUCGGGAAACUAAAUGGCUGCUCGUGUGCGCUACGUCUUCCAGAUGGGGACAAGAAACGCUCUGGAUGUUAAAGCUUCUCCUUCUGCUCCGUUGGUUGAGACGUAAAACGAUACCAGAAGAAUGAGUAGAUACCAAAAGAGUGAGUAGUUCGUACUUAGAUAAACAUCAAAUGGUGUCAACAAGCAGCUACUGAUUUUGCAAGGGAGAGGCAUGCCCCUCCAUCCCCUGUGCUUUGCACAAGUCUUCUUUAUUUUGUCAGUCCUACACUCUAGUAGGACUAACAAGAUAAAUAGUAGGACUAACUAACUGCUAGAUUCUACUUUUCCCUUCCAAAAAGUAGAACCGAAACACGGCACAAUUCAAACUAAUGCCUGGGGUUGUAGUGGCAGGUCUGCAGAUUGCCACGGCGCGCCUGGGGCUGAGCCAGCUCUGUGGUUUUGUCUCUCUCUGCCCUGACUCACGGCCCUGGCUUUUGUGCUGCCCGAAGGUGAAUCACAGCUCCCACAAGCGUGGUUAAAGCCUUGCCCUGUGGUCGGCCUGAGAAACCUGCUCCUCAGUUCAGCCAGGGAAACGUUUGGGUGGUUUUCUCCCUCAGCACGGAGCCAGAGCUCUGUGGACUAUGGGAGUGGUGUUGCCCUGCCUUCUCCCAGCCCCACGGCUGUUCCUGGCAUCGGGGAUUUCUUCUUUCCCCUCUGCUGCCUCCCCCAACGCUCCUCUUCAUAUCUGCUUUUAAAACCAAGGAGCCCAAGCAGUUGUUCAGGCUUGUCUGUGCUCUGCUGGUGGCUUUUUUAAGAGAAGCCCUAGGGAUCGGCUUCCCUCACCAGCCCCUUGUUUCAUAGGGUUUACACCCACGCCGAUUACCAUUCGUAACCCUAUUCGGGAUAUCCCGGGGAUGAACUGUUGCCCUGAGGUUUUUCCAUUCUUUCCUUGCCCUCUUUCUAUAUAUGGCUCUCUCUCGGCCUUCUUUUUACAUGUGCUCACACGAAGCUGCACCCAGCCGGCCUGCCAGCCCGCAGGCAACCUACACUAACAAUUUCAGCUAUAGUUUAUCAAGAUAGGAAAUCGAGAGUGAUUUUAAUAUGGUUGGGAUCAGAACAGCCACGUUGGCUGCUUCUCCUGAUGGUUUUGAUGCUCAUUUUGGCUAGGGCAGGGUAUAAAUGCUCCAGACAUCGGUCCCUCUCUGAACGAGGGAUCAGCUCCUCCUGGGCAGCACUGGAACAGUUUAUUUUUUCUCUUCUGGUGCAUUGACUGAAUAAUAUCCUGCUCUGCCCAGGGAAAUCCCUUGUCUGGGAGAACCUCCACGGAGGGGAAGCUUCAUCUGACUUGGAGCAAGGUUUGGGGACCUCGCUGGGAUGCAGCGAUGCUUGGAAGGCGCUGUGCUCUCCGUGGGGAGCUCCGAGAAGCCAACCAGCACCCAGGGGGCUUUUUCUUUUAAUGCAGCCAUUGAAAUCUGGACUGGAGGCUGCGCGGGACAAUGCUGUAAUGGCAGAGCUGUAACAGGCGCCCUUUGUGACCCAGUACAAAGCCGGCAGUAUUUGCUGAGUGCUCCCGCUUGCUGAGCCUGUGGUAUCAGCCCGGGUUCUGUUCCCCUCCCUUCCCCUCCAGGAAUUGGAUCAUACUUAGGUAGAACAAGUCACUGUUUGUGCGUUUGCUUCCUUUCUGCUCCCAGUUCUUGCUGAAUCCCAUGGUGUGGGUCAGAGGAAGAGAGCUCCAGCGAGGCUGAAAUCAGCACAUUGCCUACGAGGUCCUCCAUAACGCGGUGGUGCAGGUCUGCAGCCCUCCGUCCGUCUUGUCCACGGGGUGG
rnacentral:lncRNA from 1 species